rnacentral:rRNA from 1 species
ACGGAAGGCAGCAGUGGGGAAUAUUGCACAAUGGGGGAAACCCUGAUGCAGCGACGCCGCGUGAAGGAAGAAGUAUUUCGGUAUGUAAACUUCUAUCAGCAGGGAAGAUAAUGACGGUACCUGACUAAGAAGCCCCGGCUAACUACGUGCCAGUAGCCGCGGUAAUACGUAGGGGGCAAGCGUUAUCCGGAUUUACUGGGUGUAAAGGGAGCGUAGACGGUACGGCAAGUCUGAUGUGAAAACCCGGGGCUCAACCUCGGGACUGCAUUGGAAACUGUCGAACUAGAGUGUCGGAGAAGUAAGUGGAAUUCCAAGUGUAGCGGUGGAAUGCGUAGAUAUUAGGAGGAACACCAGUGGCGAAGGCGACUUACUGGACGAUUACUGACGUUGAGGCUCGAAAGCGUGGGGAGCAAACAGGCUUAGAUACCCUGUUA